rnacentral:lncRNA from 1 species
AAAAAACAUGAAACUAUACACAAAAUAUCCAUGUAAUGAAUGUUCAUGACUUGGAAGAGUAUUUUUUACUAGAUAUUUACGCAUACUAUUAAAUUAUUUAUUUUCACUGCACCAACACCUGAACAUUCUAAGUAACUUUUAUUCUGAAGAAACAGCGCAUUGGAUUUUGCGCAUGCGCCAUUUGACAACGUAUGAACGUAAAGCCAGUGAAGCGCCAGAGAAGAAGCGGGAAGAAGGCUCUGAAGCUCUGAAGCAAGAUCUCUGGAUCGCAAUUUUGCUGGAUCGGGUCGAGACGAGAGGACAACCGCAGUGAUGCUACUGAACACGUCCUCAAGAUCAUGGUCGUCCAUGAUGCUUCAGAAGAGUAUCCAGUCGAUGCCACCAUCAUUUAAUUUCUUUCUUGUUCAUUCGUCUACUAUGCAUUGUAUUUGAUUAUGUUUGUACAAUCUUACAAAACACUAUGCUUUACUGUUCCCGUAGAGACGCAUUGUUUUGAGAAACUGCAAUAGGAAAAAAGAUUUGACUAUUCAUCUUCAUCCAGUCCUUGUUAUCAAUAAAAUUGCUUCAUUACAGUACCAUAUCUUGUUGUCUUUUCAAGCUUAAUAAGCUCAGUGCCUUAUUUUUUGUUGAUUUAUUCAGUUAUUGAAGUUGUGUAUGUGGGCCUACUUUAAAUAAAUAACACUUCAAGUUAUUUGAUUUCAUACAAUACAAUCAGUGCUUUGAGCAUUUAGUUAUUUGCCAUUUGGUAAUAUUUAUCAAAAAAAAUUAAGCAACAUUUACGUAAUUUUAGUGUGUAAAACCACUAAAUACAACUGAGUAAUAGAAACAGAAAAAGUAUAGUAAAAUCUACUUAUUCAGUUCAUAACACUGAAUAUUAUAGACGAGUAAGAUUUACUCACUAUUUGGAUGACCAUGAUGUUCCUGUAUUGACAUAAUUAAGUAAAAUAUACUUAAUAUUUUCACAAAUGUCAAGGUUAGCAGCAAGUACAUUUUACUUGUUGCCGGCAAUUAAGUUGUACUUGAUUAUUAAAGCAUUGAAGUUACUUAGUUUUUUUUAGUGCAAUUUCUUACAAAGAUUUUUUUAAGUAAAUUCAACAAGUUAUUUUUUUGAGUGUAGGUCAGCAGCGUCAGCGGAGACGAUGAAUACAUUUUAAGUUGUACGAGUUAAACUAUUUUGGUUUUUAUUUGAAUUCAUAUAUAUUUCAUUAGACCAAUAGAAUAUUAAUUUGUCACAUCUAAGAAGUGCUUGAAUCAUUUUUAUG